AUUGAACGCUGGCGGCAGGCCUAACACAUGCAAGUCGAACGAGUGGCGGACGGGUGAGUAAUGUCUGGGAAACUGCCUGAUGGAGGGGGAUAACUACUGGAAACGGUCGCUACUACCGCAUACUAUCAGAUGUGCCCAGAUGGGAUUAGCUUGUUGGUGGGGUAACGGCUCACCAAGGCGACGAUCCCUAGCUGGUCUGAGAGGAUGACCAGCCACACUGGAACUGAGGAACGGCCCAAGGUCCUACGGGAGGCAGCAGUGGGGAAUAUUGGACAAUGGGCGCGAGCCUGAUGCAGCAAGGCCGCGUGUAUGAAGAGGGCCUUCGGGUUGUAGAGUACUUUCAGCGGGGGGGCGUUACCCGCAGAAGAAGCACCGGCUAACUCCGUGCCAGCAGCCGCGGUAAUAC
rnacentral:rRNA from 1 species